rnacentral:tRNA from 1 species
UGGGGUGUCGUCAAGCGGUAACACACGGGCUUUUGGAGCCCGCAUUAGGGGGUUCGAAUCCUCCCACCCCAGCCA